GGGAUAUACAAAGAUAUCGAUAAAAACCUAGCUUCAGUCAAGCUUUCUUUCAGAUUGAGGCUCUUGACUACAUAGAGGUCUUCUGCUAACAUAGAUGAGAGACUUCAAUAGAGGUUCCCUCGACCAUGCACCUGUUGAUGUUGUAAGUAGGCAUACGGCAAUCAAUAUAUGAAGAUUAAUCAAGGUAACAAAAGAGAUCUUUGGCGUUAUUUCUGCAAUUUUUUAUCUGAUGAAAUGGGUGCGUACUCUCUCUUAGCUGGAGUUGGGUUGAACAAGAU